UAUGCCAUCGUGUUAUUUUCCAUACGAAUUUUUGUGCUCGUAAUUAAUAACAUACACGUAUAACCAUAUUCAAAAAUGCGUUAUCGAUUACAUACGAGUAUAAUGAAACGAAAUUGUAUUAUAAGAAACGGGCAUUGUUUUUUUAUGCGUAGAACGAAAGAGAAAAUUCUACACGUGUUAACGUCAAUGAUCUGUAAAUACUCGCAUAAUACCGGCUGUUCAAUCAGAUAU